CAUUAGGUCAAAGAUACUAUUUACAAAUUUCUCCAAAUUUUUGCCUCAAAACCCUAGGUCUCAAACCCUAACCACUCUAAUCCAUUGCAAUUAACUAAUUCAAAGCAUAUAAACACAAUCUUUCAACUCAUUCAAGCAUCUUAACAUGUUUAACUCAAUCAAACUCAUGCAAAUCACUCUCCCCUCCCUGCUGGACGAAUUUCAGUUUAGUCCCUCACACAUAUUUUUAUUUCAUUUCUUUAGUUUCUAAGCUCAUUUAAGUAACUAAACAUGCAU
rnacentral:misc_RNA from 1 species